AGCUGAGCAGCAAACAGCAACACUAUGAAGUAGGCAUUAUUGUUAACCCCAUUUCACUAAUCAGAAAACUAAGGCUUAGACUACAGCCUAAGUGACCCGCACUACAGCACAUAGCUGAUGCUCCAGAUCAGGGCCAAGACUUAGGACUCAGCUGCCUCUUGGGCAGCUGGGCUCUUUACACUAGAGGCAGAGAUUUGGAAAGGUGUUUUGCUGCUAGGUGUACGACAUGUGAACGAAACAAACUGAAUUACAGGGGCAGCGUGAAGGUUUUCCCUCCAGAUGAAAUCAAGCAGGUUUCCAAUAAGGAUGGAUAUGAAGACUUCUCUGAAGCAAGCAGUGAAGGAGACCUCCUAGGGGAUGAUGAUGCAGUGUGCGUCCUGAUCAUGCUUUCGCCUGGAGCAACGUGAAUCAUCUUUAAAAAAAAACAACUGCUGUCUCAACAUGGCCACUGUGGGUGAGGCCUGAUUAUCUCAGGAUAUCUGCAAGAUGACUCCAAUGCAGCAACAACCAGAUGUGCUCCAGCCCAGCUGGGCUUCAGUUUCCAUAUUUGCCAUGUGUUUGUCCAGAUGU
rnacentral:lncRNA from 10 species